CCUACGGUAGGCAGCAGUCGAGAAUCAUUCACAAUGGGGGAAACCCUGAUGGUGCGACGCCGCGUGGGGGAAUGAAGGUCUUCGGAUUGUAAACCCCUGUCAUGUGGGAGCAAAUGAAAAAGAUAGUACCACAAGAGGAAGAGACGGCUAACUCUGUGCCAGCAGCCGCGGUAAUACAGAGGUCUCAAGCGUUGUUCGGAAUCACUGGGCGUAAAGCGUGCGUAGGCUGUUUCGUAAGUCGUGUGUGAAAGGCGCGGGCUCAACCCGCGGACGGCACAUGAUACUGCGAGACUAGAGUAAUGGAGGGGGAACCGGAAUUCUCGGUGUAGCAGUGAAAUGCGUAGAUAUCGAGAGGAACACUCGUGGCGAAGGCGGGUUCCUGGACAUUAACUGACGCUGAGGCACGAAGGCCAGGGGAGCGAAAGGGAUUAGAUACCCGAGUAGUC
rnacentral:rRNA from 1 species